CAAGGAGUAGCUUAUUUAAAGCCUUUAACUUACAAUUAAACUAAGUCUACAAACACUGGACCUCCCUGA